GCUCCAUCUGCCUGAACACUGUUGCUGCUGCUCGACAAAGAGCUUCGGCUGGCUGUUUAACACCAACAUUUGUUGAGCUGGAUCUUAUAAUGGCCCAGUAUGGGCCUGUCUAUGAGACUCCAUAACCCUCUUGGUACCAAUAAAACCUGGUGUAGACAGCCAGUCUCCCUUGGGUAACUGUCUUUGACUGCAAACAUUCCCAGUACUUCAUUCCUUAGAGGGAAAGAGAGGGGACCAGCUGUAACUGCCUAAUUUAUCAGAGAACCUUGGGGCAGGAUGACAUCAUAUUACCCCCAAUACAACUUUAACUAAAUCCAGCAGUCUGAAACCAGUCCCUAGAUCAAAACAAGAAAACAAGAAAGAAAAGCAGAGAGAUAUCAAUGGAGAUUAAAUGAAAAUAGCCAUAUGCAAAGACAAGGUGUCAACAAGGCCAUGGAAUCUAAGAUGGAACAGUCCAAAAUCUUGCAUAUACCAGGAG